rnacentral:rRNA from 1 species
ACGGGGGAGUAAUGUCUGGGAAACUGCCUGAUGGAGGGGGAUAACUACUGGAAACGGUAGCUAAUACCGCAUAACGUCGCAAGACCAAANAGGGGGACCUUCGGGCCUCUUGCCAUCGGAUGUGCCCAGAUGGGAUUAGCUAGUAGGUGGGGUAAAGGCUCACCUAGGCGACGAUCCCUAGCUGGUCUGAGAGGAUGACCAGCCACACUGGAACUGAGACACGGUCCAGACUCCUACGGGAGGCAGCAUG